ensembl:lncRNA
AGAAUAGUCAUGCAGAUAGCCAGGUCCAGAAGAGGAAAAGUCGGUGAGAUUAAUUGAAGAAGCCGUGGCAUGUGGUGCAGGCAACGUAAAAAGAGAAGAGAGAUUCCAGAGAAACGAAGCAGCCAGUGCCAGUUCAGCAGUGCUUGAACCCAGCAGGAUGUAGGAUCUUGCCGGCUUCAUUAAAGUUUACUGAGCACCUACUCAGAGCCAUGCACCAAACUAUGGAGAAGAUGAAGAUACAUACAUGUAGGGUCUUCCCAGUAAGGAACCUAUGGUUAAAAGAGUUCCUAAUCAGGACUUUCGGAAUCAUCUGUCUGCCCUCGCUCCACAGGGCUGGUAUUAGUUUUCCCUCAGUCAUCCUUUCAGACUGCCUCCUUAAUCAGGGAUGGAUUAAAAGCUACAAUCACGUGAAAAGUAGAGGCAAAAUGGCCUAGGAGUCCUUUUUCCUAUAAAACUCCCAAUAAAACUCAGUCAUGUCCAACUUUUUGCGACUCCAUGGACUGUAGCCCCCCAGGCUCCUCUGUCCGUGGGAUUUUCCAGGCAAGAAUAUUAGCGUGGGUUGCUGUGCCCUCCUCCAAGAUAUCUUUCCAGCCCAGGGAUCGAACUCGAGUCUCUUGUGUCUCUUGCAUUGGCAGUUCUGGUGACUGGAAGUCCAAGACCAAGGUGCCAGCAGGACUGAUGUCCAGUAAGGACUCUCUCUUUGGAUUGCAGACAGCCACCUUCUUGCUGUGUCUUCACAUGGCCAUUCCUUGGUGCAUGCCUGUGGAGAGAAAAGGCUGAUGAUGAUAGCAGUAGCACCUGCAUCACGGUCUGCCAUGAGGACUGAGUGUAACCACAUUCCUGUCGUUCUUGCAGUCCCUGACACCGAGUGAGGCACUCACUGUGUUACUAUCACCAUCACCAUCAAAAUGACACCACUGAUGUGCCCCAAUCAGAAAGACAAGACAGCCCGAAAUGGGGAUCCCAGGGGUAACGUUUUCACAUUUAUUGUGUAAAUCAGCAUUUUUUAAAGAGUUGGAUUUCUAGAUGUUUCCUUCCCAUAGAGUGGAGGACAGCCAUGCAAUUAGUCUUUUUAUAACUGAAUAUCUCUGUACAAAGCAAAAAAGAGGGAAGGUAUGGGUAACUGAGACAUUGCUUUCCACUUACCAGUAAGACAACAUAAAUG